UACGAAGGGGGCUAGCGUUGCUCGGAAUCACUGGGCGUAAAGGGUGCGUAGGCGGGUUCUUAAGUCAGGGGUGAAAUCCUGGAGCUCAACUCCAGAACUGCCUUUGAUACUGAGGAUCUUGAGUUCGGGAGAGGUGAGUGGAACUGCGAGUGUAGAGGUGAAAUUCGUAGAUAUUCGCAAGAACACCAGUGGCGAAGGCGGCUCACUGGCCCGAUACUGACGCUGAGGCACGAAAGCGUGGGGAUCAAACAGG
rnacentral:rRNA from 1 species